rnacentral:snoRNA from 1 species
AACGCAAAUUCACAGCCAUUCGUAGCAUAUACAGCGUCUUCUUGAGGUUGGAUCCCUACGGGGCGUCCUUGGCCCAUGAUAAGGUCGGACAUAUGCUACCGGUUUUGAACUCAGUUUGGACUGGAGAAUAAAGUUACUGAUCUUGGGUGCAAUAACCCAUGUGUCGUUUGGCCUUUGAGUCAAACCUAAGGGUCCAUCUUCGUAUGCCCGUAUGGGGGUUGUUGCAAUGAUCAAUAAUACAUUU